CUCACUUCAGCAGAAAUAUGCAAAAAUUGGAGGAACACAAGAGAAGAUUAGCACGGCCCUUGCACAAGGAUUACAGGCAAAUUCGGGAAGUGUUCCAGAUUUUU
ensembl:snRNA U6 U6 spliceosomal RNA